GAACAAACCCCUAAACAUGAAUAACCCAGUCAAGAAUCCAUAAGAAUAAAACUUUCAACAACGGAUCUCUUGGUUCUCGCAUCGAUGAAGAGCGCAGCGAAAUGCGAUACCUAGUGUGAAUUGCAGCCAUCGUGAAUCAUCGAGUUCUUGAACGCACAUUGCGCCCCCUGGAAUUCCGGGGGGCAUUCCUGUUUGACCGUCGUUUCUAUCUCACGCAAGUGGACGCUGGCCCGGCCUUGGCCCCGCCGAAAAAAAACCGGGGGCGAAGGCAA
rnacentral:misc_RNA from 1 species